GAUGAAGAACGCAGCGAAAUGCGAUAAGUAAUGUGAAUUGCAGAAUUCAGUGAAUCAUCGAAUCUUUGAACGCACAUUGCGCCCGCCAGUAUUCUGGCGGGCAUGCCUGUUCGAGCGUCAUUUCAACCCUCAAGCCCAGCUUGGUGUUGGGAUCUGUCCUUACCGACAGUCCCCAAAUUGAUUGGCGGUCACGUCGAGCUUCCAUAGCGUAGUAAUUUACACAUCGUUACUGGUAAUCGUCGCGGCCACGCCGUUAAACCCCAACUUCUGAAUGUUGACCUCGGAUCAGGUAGGAAUACCUGCUGAACUUAAGCAUAUCAAUAAGCGGAGGA
rnacentral:misc_RNA from 1 species